GGUCUGCCUCCAUCUGCUGUGAGUUUUGGUCAGCGCUGUGUUUACAGGUGGGCGUGGCACUCAUCACAGCUGCAUGGAGUUUCCACUAAUCGGAGCCACCAGGAUUUAAGGAGCGAUGGGACUCAACUCCAGCGCCGGUCGAUACUCUCAUAUGGUUUCCUGUUCUGAACCACCUACCUGGUCUGGAGUUGUUUCCCGUCUCACCGCUCAAGGAUCCUCAGGUCUCCGAUCUCCUCGCCCGCCUGCCUGUCCACGCACAGCACCAUCCUCACCACUCCAGCCUCUCCCAGUCCGCCUCCGCACAACUUCUGGUCUCUGACCAUUCCGGUCCCGUCCCGUUCCUGUGUUUCAGACGCAGCGCCUUUAGUUCUAGUUUUGUUCCCUUAUUUCUGUUUUAAGAAAUAAAACAUUUAUAUUUUUCUUACUCUGUCGUGAUUCUUCAUGUCCUGGGUGAAAGCUCUUACCCACAGCAUGACAUAUUCCAUCUUCUCUGUUGGCACGAGCAUAUUCCAAGAUGACAAUUCCAGGAUUCAUCAGGCUCAAAUAGUGAAAGGGAGCAUAAGACAUAAUUUUCACACAUGGAUUGGCCACCACAGAGUCCAGACCUUAACCCCAUUGAGCAUCUUUGGGAUGUGCUGGAGAAGCCUUUGUGCAGCGGUCAGACUCUACCAUCAUCAAUGCAAGACCUUGGUGAAACAUGAAUGCAACACAGGAUGAAAAUAAAUCUGGUGACGUUGCAGAGGGUUAUCGAAACACACCACAGCAAAUGUGUGUUGUAAUCAAAGCUAAAGGCGGUCUGAUGAAAUACUGGAGUGUGUGACCUUUUUUUUGGUGGCAACCUUGUAUUUGGUUAAGCAGUGUAGACUGCAGUACCCACGUUUGACCACAGGAGGUCCAUCUUCUGUCAUUCUUACAUACUGCACCUUUAAAAAUCACAUUUUUCUUUUACUCCUGUGAAUAAUUGUCUUCUUUUGUAAGCCACAGCAGGACAAGCGUUUCCUCAAUGACAAAUAAAGGUUUUAAAUUUUUUAACUCAAAUGUUCUAAGUGUGCCAGCAUUAUCAUUGUGUCGUGGUACUUGUAAGUGCACAAACGGUCGUAUGCGUUACAGUAACUUAACAAAAAACAUUUGUUGAUCCAACGUCUGAAAACCAACCUGUAUAAGUGGUGAGUGUCUCCCAGAUACCUGCCAUCUGAUUUAAAAGCCACACAUUGUGAAGAAAGAAAGAGCUGUGUGUUAUGUUUGAGCCUAGCAGGAAGGCUGUGAGCUGUAAGUGCUGACUGUCUGACUUUAAGGGUGUUUGAGGUUCUUCACUUCAUUACUGCGUUUCGAACCGAAGAAAACUAAUGACUCUGAGAGUCACACAGAUGAAUACUCUCAAACUGCCAAAUCACUCCCUGAAUUCAGUCCAGCUGACUCCAACCAUGGCUGAGGGACAACCUCAAAUUAAAGUUAAACGUUUGUGCUCAACCCUGAUAUUCAGAGCUCCAUUUGAAACCCUGGGUGUGGGUGUAUGAAGCUAAAAAAUAGAGUAAGUGUGGACAUAAUGGAACAAAUUCACACAUUUGGUCACUGUCUUUCAGUUCUUGGACACUUUUAAACCUAAAGCGUCUGUUUGAAACACUGCAUGCUACUAGUUCCACAUACACUUCUAAUUCUUUAAGAUUGGUCCUGUCCUUAAAAACCAGCGGUGCACAAUCCAAUACAUGCCUACUGCACAUGGAGCAUGACAAUUAUACGUUUCUAUUUUUUUAAUUGUUGCAUUGUUAUAUAAUUACAUAAUACACAUAACAGAACAUGUAAAUAGUUCAUGUGUCUACCAGAGGGCUGUUUCAGGUUUGAGUGGUGUGGAUCAUUUGAUUAAUCAAUACAUUUGCACUGGUUUCUAGUAGGAAUGAAUGCCUAGUAAGUUGUGCUCAGAGGGGAAAAAAAGCUCCAGUGCAGCAGGUUGUACAACUCAGCUGGAGGAGAAAGUAGCUUCAGACGUCUUACUUCCUGAUGAUUGGACAUCUUUCCUCUGAUUGGCUAACAGCAACACAACUCUACCACUGAUUGUUUGCUCUGCAAUGUUGAUGUUUUAUCUCCACAAAUAACACAAGCCUGGAGGAGUCCUGUUGUACGGUGCAGUUGCUAAUGCUACCUGCUAGCUUCUACUAGUUGAGACGUUCUCUGCUGUUUCCUGGACGCUAAACCAACAACUGCCUUCCCUGUCGUGAGUAAGUGACAGUGUGACGUAGAUCUGUCAGGAUUUUCUAAUCCUAGAGUUUCACUAUCAAAAGUUAAUGCAGGAGAUAGGUGUAGGAGACUGUUUCAGCCUGCAUGAAAAACUCUAAAUAAUAAUAUAAUAAUAAUAAUUGAUUUUCUUUGUAACACACUUUAUAUUUCAAUGAAAUCUCAAAGUGCUACAGUAGGAAAUCAGAAACAAUGUAAGGAAUAAUUAAAAAACCAAUAAAUAAAAACAAAGAAAAAGUACAUAAAACCAUACAAUGCUAAGUUAACACAUGGUAAAACAACAGCAAUGUCAAUCAGUUUGGAAAAGCUUGAGUAAAUAAAAAUGUCUUCAGAUGUUUUUUUAAAAAACUUUCAACACUUUGAGGUGCUCUCAGUGUUUCAGGGAGUGUGUUCCACAGGCGUGGGGCUGCAGCUUGAAAGGCACAGUCUCCCAUGGAAUGAAGUUUUGUUCUGGGCUGUUGCAGGAAUUGAGAAUUUCUAGAGCGAAGAUUUCUUGAGGUGAUGUGGAUAGUAAGAGCUCUUUAAGAUAAAUAGGAACAUUUCAUGUCAUCAGGGGCAGUUCCUAGGGAGUGGCAGACCGGGGUGGUGGUCCCCAUCUUUAAGAAGGGUGACCUGAGGGUGUGUUCCAACUAUAGGGGGAUCACACUCCUCAGCCUCCCUGGAAAGGUCUACGGCAAGGUACUGGAGAGGAGGGUCCGAUCGAUAGUUGAAUCUCAGAUAGAGGAGGAGCAAUGUGGUUUUCGUCCUGGCCGUGGAACUGUGGACCAGCUCUAUACCUUUGCAAGGGUGAUGGAGGGGGCAUGGGAGUUUGCCCAACCAAUCCACAUGUGCUUUGUGGAUUUGGAGAAGGCUUAUGACCGUGUCCCAAGGGGCACCCUGUGGGGGACGCUCCAGGAGUAUGGGGUGGGUGGCUUUCUGUUAAGGGCCAUUCAGUCCCUUUACCAGAGGAGCGUGAGUUUGGUCCGCAUAGCCGGUAGUAAGUCGGACCUGUUCCCAGUGAGGGUUGGAC